GACGAACGCUGGCGGCGUGCCUAAUACAUGCAAGUUGAGCGCUGAAGGUUGGUACUUGUACCAACUGGAUGAGCAGCGAACGGGUGAGUAACGCGUGGGGAAUCUGCCUUUGAGCGGGGGACAACAUUUGGAAACGAAUGCUAAUACCGCAUAAAAACUUUAAACACAAGUUUUAAGUUUGAAAGAUGCAAUUGCACCACUCAAAGAUGAUCCCGCGUUGUAUUAGCUAGUUGGUGAGGUAAAGGCUCACCAAGGCGAUGAUACAUAGCCGACCUGAGAGGGUGAUCGGCCACAUUGGGACUGAGACACGGCCCAAACUCCUACGGGAGGCAGCAGUAGGGAAUCUUCGGCAAUGGACGAAAGUCUGAGCGAGCAACGCCGCGUGAGUGAAGAAGGUUUUCGGAUCGUAAAACUCUGUUGGUAGAGAAGAACGUUGGUGAGAGUGGAAAGCUCAGCAAGUGACGGUAACUACCCAGAAAGGGACGGCUAACUACGUG
rnacentral:rRNA from 1 species